rnacentral:rRNA from 1 species
AGCUUGCUUCUUUGCUGACGAGUGGCGGACGGGUGAGUAAUGUCUGGGAAACUGCCUGAUGGAGGGGGAUAACUACUGGAAACGGUAGCUAAUACCGCAUAACGUCGCAAGACCAAAGAGGGGGACCUUCGGGCCUCUUGCCAUCGGAUGUGCCCAGAUGGGAUUAGCUAGUAGGUGGGGUAACGGCUCACCUAGGCGACGAUCCCUAGCUGGUCUGAGAGGAUGACCAGCCACACUGGAACUGAGACACGGUCCAGACUCCUACGGGAGGCAGCAGUGGGGAAUAUUGCACAAUGGGCGCAAGCCUGAUGCAGCCAUGCCGCGUGUAUGAAGAAGGCCUUCGGGUUGUAAAGUACUUUCAGCGGGGAGGAAGGGAGUAAAGUUAAUACCUUUGCUCAUUGACGUUACCCGCAGAAGAAGCACCGGCUAACUCCGUGCCAGCAGCCGCGGUAAUACGGAGGGUGCAAGCGUUAAUCGGAAUUACUGGGCGUAAAGCGCACGCAGGCGGUUUGUUAAGUCAGAUGUGAAAUCCCCGGGCUCAACCUGGGAACUGCAUCUGAUACUGGCAAGCUUGAGUCUCGUAGAGGGGGGUAGAAUUCCAGGUGUAGCGGUGAAAUGCGUAGAGAUCUGGAGGAAUACCGGUGGCGAAGGCGGCCCCCUGGACGAAGACUGACGCUCAGGUGCGAAAGCGUGGGGGAGCAAACAGGAUUAGAUACCCUGGUAGUCCACGCCGUAAACGAUGUCGACUUGGAGGUUGUGCCCUUGAGGCGUGGCUUCCGGGAGCUAACGCGUUAAGUCGACCGCCUGGGGA